CACGGUUGUCCUAACUCGUAUACACUCUAUUAUUGCUACUUCCUUCCUUGCAUCAAUCUGUACCAAUAAAAAUAGGAGGGAGAAUAUUGGAGAAGAGAGAAAGCGUGGAAUGCUGAGAUCUUGUGGUAGAAUCAAUACGAAAGUUUAGGGGAGAAGUUGGGUUGUGUAUAUGGGGGGUAGUAGUACAUUUGUUGAUGGAGUUCUUCGAUGGUUUCAUCAUCGUCGUCACACUAAUGAAGAUGCAAUCUUGACUCAAACCCACAAUUCUACAGAUACCCAUUUACAAGAAAAACAACACGAAUUUACUAUUACUGAAGACUUUGACUUCACCGGUUUAAAGCUCAUCAAAGUACCCAAGCGUUUUCAUUUGCCUAUUUCUUCUUCUUCUUCUUCCAUGGAUCCUACCAAAAAGAAUGCGUUAGAGACGGAAUUCUUUACUGAAUAUGGAGAGGCAAGUAGAUACCAAGUUCAGGAAGUAAUUGGCAAAGGAAGCUAUGGAGUUGUGGGUUCUGCUGUUGAUACACAUACUGGUGAAAGAGUUGCAAUCAAGAAAAUUAAUGAUGUCUUUGACCAUGUUUCUGAUGCGACAAGAAUCUUGAGAGAAAUUAAGCUUCUUCGGCUACUUAGGCAUCCAGAUAUCGUAGAAAUAAAGCACAUUAUGUUGCCUCCUUCUCGAAGAGA
rnacentral:misc_RNA from 1 species